CCUACGGGAGGCAGCAGUGAGGAAUAUUGGUCAAUGGGCUUACGCCUGAACCAGCCAAGUCGCGUGAGGGAAGACUGCCCUAUGGGUUGUAAACCUCUUUUGUCAGGGAGCAAUUGGCGCUACGUGUAGCGUUAUCUAGAGUACCUGAAGAAAAAGCAUCGGCUAACUCCGUGCCAGCAGCCGCGGUAAUACGGAGGAUGCGAGCGUUAUCCGGAUUUAUUGGGUUUAAAGGGUGCGUAGGCGGAAUGCCAAGUCAGCGGUAAAAUCGCGGGGCUCAACCUCGCUCCGCCGUUGAAACUGGCGUUCUUGAGUGGGCGAGAAGUAGGCGGAAUGCGUGGUGUAGCGGUGAAAUGCAUAGAUAUCACGCAGAACUCCGAUUGCGAAGGCAGCAUACCGGCGCCCAACUGACGCUGAAGCACGAAAGCGUGGGUAUCGAACAGGAUUAGAUACCCUAGUAGUC
rnacentral:rRNA from 1 species